GGUGAUGUUGGGGUGUUGGUCAACCCCAUCAGACUGUAAAUCUGACGUGAAAGCUGUCUAGGUUCGAAUCCUAGAUCACCC
rnacentral:tRNA from 1 species